AAGCAGUUAUUAAGCAGUUGAAGAUGAUCAUUUUUUACCCGUAUUUCACUUACGCUGUUACACACGCUUUUUGUAAAAGUUUAAUAAAGCCAAAGUGUCCAUGUGAUGAUUGACUUUAGUGUUGGAACGAUUAACUGAUUUUAAUAAAUUUCUAAUUGGAAAGUAAAGUUUCUUACGUACGAUUCCUCAUAAUUUUACCAUGUUCCGUCCAAGUGAUGCCGGUGGAGAUGGUGAAGAUGAACAAUCGAUAAGUAACAGAAUUAAGAGUCACGUUGCGGCAUUUGUUAUGCUGGUCGUGCUCUUCCGAACAGCCAAGGUAGUCGUUGAUCGUGCCGGGUACGGUUUUCCCAGCUAAUUACAAUCCCCCCCCCCCCACGCCAUCAACUACAAAAAAUGCCAGCAGAAGAACUGAAUCGUACGCCAACUCUACAUGCAGAACAAUAUUUAUAUACUUACUUACUAAAUAUUUAAAUAAAUAAAUGCAUCAUAACCACCACCCAGAUUUUUACAUUGUUCAAUAAAAUAUCAUUUUUAUUGUAAAUUGAUAAAUGUGUAAAUUGUAGGAGCACAAGAUUGAAAUAAAACAUGAUCCUUCUUAUACUUUA